UACAGAGGGUGCGAGCGUUAAUCGGAAUUACUGGGCGUAAAGCGUGCGUAGACGGUUACAUAAGUCGGGUGUGAAAGCCCCGGGCUCAACCUGGGAAUUGCAUUCGAGACUGCGUAGCUAGGGUGCGGAAGAGGGAAGCGGAAUUUCCGGUGUAGCGGUGAAAUGCGCAGAUAUCGGGAGGAACACCGGUGGCGAAGGCGGUUCUCUGGGCCUGACCUGACGCUGAGGAGCGAAAGCGUGGGGAGCGAACAGG
rnacentral:rRNA from 1 species